rnacentral:rRNA from 1 species
UACGUAGGGUGCAAGCGUUGUCCGGAAUUAUUGGGCGUAAAGAGCUCGUAGGCGGUUUGUCGCGUCGAAUGUGAAAGCCCGGGGCUCAACUCCGGGUCUGCAUUCGAUACGGGCAGACUAGAGUUCGGUAGGGGAGACUGGAAUUCCUGGUGUAGCGGUGAAAUGCGCAGAUAUCAGGAGGAACACCGAUGGCGAAGGCAGGUCUCUGGGCCGAUACUGACGCUGAGGAGCGAAAGCGUGGGGAGCGAACAGG